CGUUAGCGCAGGGUUUAAUGGUAGUUUGAGAUGAGGGUUUAAUGGUAGUUUGAGAUGAAUCAUGUUUGAACUAAGUUUUCCUUUUCUGUCCCUUUAGGUCUCCCGCUGUCACAUUUCCAUCCUAGUCUUUACUUUGUAUGAAAUGGGUCUCAUCUCCUUUGACAUUUUCAGCAUUAUGGUCAAUUCACGCUAAUCCUCCACCAUCUCCCUCCUCUCUUACCAUAAUUACCUCCACCAAUGGUCUACACCUGUGUGUGUGAGAGAGAGAGUGCAUUUGCUGUGACUACCUUGCAUCGCAUAAAGUUCUUCUUGGGAAUAUCCUAUAUGGGAAAUGAUUUCCAGGAUUUUAUCUAUGCGUAUAUCGAAAACGUAUCCUUUCUGCUUGAGCCUACUUCCCUCCCUAUUCUAUAGCAUGGAGUUGUGCUCCAAUGUAACUGGAUGACAUUUCAUUGUUAUGCAUUACUCUCUCUCUCUCCCUCCCCCCCCCCCCCCCCCCCGCCCCCCUGCCCCUCCGGUUGUUGUGUCAUUGUGUGUGUUUUAGUAUGACUGCCUGACCGAUAUCGCAUUAAGUUCUUCUUGGAGUCUUCUUUAAGGGAAAUGAUUUUCAGGAUUUUAUCUAUGCGUAUAAUUAGAACAUAUCCUUUCUGCUUGAGCCUGCUCCACUCCCUGAUCGGUAACAUGGAGUUGUGCUCCAAUGUAAUUGGAUGACAUUUGUUAUGCAUUUCACUGCUAAGGUUGCGGGAAUUCAAAAUGAACCCAGUCUUGUUUUCCAUAAGGUUUCUGUCUUGUUUUCUUAUAUACUUAACGAAUUACCCUACUACCAUCUUAUUUUCGGUAGGAGGCUGAGAACCCCUCUACUUUGGACUUCUAGCAGGUGAAAUCUGUGGUUCAAAUUGGAAAUACUACUCUCAAUUGCCUCAAUUUCCUAAUCCUUCGGUUUUGUAGUUAUGUCAGGUUUAUGGUUACUUAGAACGUGGAUCAUUUUGUCGAGGAAUGGAGAUAUGGUUUGCCACAUUUCCUAAAGUAUUAGCAUUUAUUUGGUAAUAUAGGUAGGGAUCACUGGAGAGUCAAUGCCAGUCAGUGGGUUGUGAGUAUGGUAGGCGGCAAUGACUCAUGGUGGCGCAUGAGUUGGGGUGCUUUGAGUUUGUUGUCAAAUUUUUUUUUAAUGUUGAUGAAGAUGUGUCCAUUUAGAUGUGUUUUCAGGAUUUUUCUGUAUUUACAAUUUGUUAUUUUGCAUCUUUCCGUUUGUAAACUUUGUCUGUGGGAUAUGAUUCACACAAAUUGCACAAGCUAUUCGAUAAUUUGUGAAUAUUGACUUGGUAGCCAAACCACUUGAGAGUGGAGGAGACUCAUAUUUGCGGUCUUGUUUAGGUUCUCAUUGUUAUGUCGGUUGUGUAGUUUGGAGUCUUUUGAUUCCAUCUUGUCAAAUUGCACAAGCUAAUCCACAGCUGCUCGGAGAUGUGUGUGAUAUUUUCUUGCUUCAUAUCUUGCCAAAAGUUUAUGCUGCUGUCUUUGUAUUUUGGAAAUACUUUUGAGGGUGGUGCUAAUGCCACGAUAGUUUAUGUUAGAGCCACGACAAUUCUUGUAGUCUGACAAUUCUGUCCUUUUUAUCCUUGAAUGCUUCUCUCCGAGUUUUGAUCUAGUACCACUUGCUUUCCUUUCUUUCCUUUUCAACAAAAUUUACACAGCGCUCCUCCCUCCAUUAUACAUAUUCUUAUUCAUUUCCCUUGAAUCUCAUUUGCUCCACUUUCACCUCUCACUCGUGUUCUCUCUGUGUUGAGGAGUGGUUGCUGAGGAGUCGUAGAUCUCUGUGGAGAGAGUUAUGAUUUGAGAUUAGCCGGUCUAGAUUUGCUCUCCAACCAUCCCCGAAAAAAAACCCUCAUCUAUUCAAUUGCAUGCUAACCAGGGAAGAUUUGUAAAUCAAUCGGACCAUGGAGCGAAAAAGAAAAGAGGUUCAGGGGAAUGGGUUGUGCUGCAAAUUCUUGAUCUCUCUGUCUUCUUUAAGUACAAAAAAUGUCUCCGCAGCUCCGUUAUUUACAAUCUGAUAUAGAUUGAAGGUUGUGAAAGAUGGGCCAUUUGCUUGAAUUUUUUUUUUCUGAUCUACUCCCAUCAUUACGAGUUAAGAGCAGGAGAAUUGAUGAGUCCUGUGACUCUUGUCUAGUGGUGGAGGAGAGACCGAGAGAGGAGGGAGGAAACAUGGGUUGCUCUGUUGUGGGACAGUAGAGAGAGAAUGAGAAGCACGUGCGUCUAGCCUCUUACAAAGGCUACAAUGGUCAGUUUAGGCAAUUUGUCGUGUCACUAGAAAUUAUGGUCGUGGCAUUAUCUCUACCCUACUUUUGAAUAUUCUGCAUAACGAUUGUGGUCAUUAAUGAUAUCCAAAAUGCUUUUAUGGUUU